rnacentral:rRNA from 1 species
UACGAAGGGGGCUAGCGUUGCUCGGAAUUACUGGGCGUAAAGCGCACGUAGGCGGACUUGCAAGUCGGGGGUGAAAUCCCGGGGCUCAACCUCGGAACUGCCUUCGAUACUGUAAGUCUCGAGUCCGGAAGAGGUGGGUGGAAUUCCUAGUGUAGAGGUGAAAUUCGUAGAUAUUAGGAAGAACACCAGUGGCGAAGGCGGCCCACUGGUCCGGUACUGACGCUGAGGUGCGAAAGCGUGGGGAGCAAACAGG